ACGCAAGGAAUACCCCAACAAGAAUAAGACAAGGGGAAAGCGCUCCUGCUUCAAAUGCGGUAAUACAUGUCAUUUUAUUGCUCAAUGUCCCGAUAAUGAAAAUGACCAGGGGGAAGAAAGACAUGGGAAGAAGAAGAAGAAAAUCUAUAGGAAGGCAAAAGGCGAGGCUCAUCUUGGCAAAGAAUGGGACUCAGACUGCUCUUCAUUCGACUCCGACGAUGAAGGACUGGCAGCCUCAGCCUUCAACAAGUCUUCGCUCUUCCCCAACGAACGCCACACCUGCCUCAUGACCAAGGAAAAGAAGGUGAGUGUUCGAGAUUCCCCCAAGUACUCUACUUCUAGUGAUGAUGAAGUAGAUUACACUAGCUUGUUCAAAGGAUUAGAUAGAGCUAAAGUAGAAAAGAUUAAUGAGUUGAUUGAUGCUUUAAAUGAAAAAGAUAGUCUGCUAGAGAGGCAAGAGGAUAUUUUGUAUGAGGAACAUGACAAAUUUGUCAGUGUUCAAAAGUCUCUUGCCUUAGAACUUAAGAGAAAUGAAGUGCUGUCUUCUGAGAUAUCUGCUUGCCAUGAAGCCAUCUUUGGCAAAAAAAAAUCUAGCACUGCUGGAUUGUUGAUGUCGAAGAAUCAGCUCCAGAAAUCAAUUUUCCUAGAGGAUCCUAAAACAUUCCAGUGAAGAGCAACCGAUGUGGGCAUAUGAUAACACAGUAAACAUACAUGCCUUUUAUGAGGAAAAAAUAAUAUAAGUUGGUAUUAAUAUAACUAUGACUAACUACUCAAAACAUUUAAUUAAUAGGUCAUAGAAACCGACUAUCUGAUGUGAAUUGGUUGACAUUACUAGCCUUGUCAUGACACUAUCAAAAUAAAUCAAGGUAGAAUUUUAGUACUUUUCCUAAUUUCGUAUCUACACGGUACAUUAAGCAAAUGAAUAAAAAUAUAAUAACAACAUGAAACAAUUAAUCAACUCCUGAAAUAUUUUCCCUUUGUUUGUGUGAUAUAAAGGAUAAGCUCUUUUUGCACAGUGCAGACUGCAGAACCACCUACAAAGUACAACGCCUCAGGUUCCAAGCGCGCUUUAGCAAAACCACUCUAAAGCGAUUGCGAUGGCUCACUUCUAGCUCCUUGGACAUUUUGAAGUUGGCAAGACAGCUAAAAGGUUGGAAUCAUGUAACAGAACAAGACCCACUGGAAUAGCCCAAUCAGCAGCCUGCCAUUGCAUACCUGAUUCGAUCAAAGUUCCCCUCUGUUGUCAAAUCCCCACCCCGGGGAAAACGCAUCACACAGACGAGUACACAUCAUUUCGCAAAAGAUACAUGUGUCGCGAGCAAGUAGCAACGAGCCGGAAUUUUCACAUCUCAAACCCCCUCCGCCUGACCGUAGAGCGCAACUAGCAAGCACGGAUCGCCGAAAACCCUCAUCGCAUCACCCCAUGAACCAACGGUACCAAGCAACGGCUAGGAUAGGAUGGACGAACCUGAGGCCCCAGGGUGAGGGCUCCCAUCCUUGAUCCAAGCACCCUAGCAGUUCCCCAUUCGCGAGUGUGCUCGGUGCUCACGCCGCUGCACAGCCGGAGCGAAGCGCGGCAGCGAGGGCGGGGCUCGACCAGCAAUCGGAUCAAACGAGCCACGUCGCUGGCACCGCGGAGGCGCCCCGCGAUCCUCCCGGGGCUAGGGUUUUGCGGCGCGGGCUACGAACCGGUGGGCGGAUGGACGGAAAACAACAUGAGUGAGUAGAGGGAGGUGGCGUGGUGGAGCGCGUGACUGCGUGAGGCUGCCGCUUUGGAGAGGGAGUGAGCCGAGCGAGCGAGAGGAGCGAGGGAGAGGCGGUUAAUGGCGGGCAAGGGUGGCGGCCGGUUAGGGUUAGGGGAGUGCGGCUGGGCCUUAAUGGGCCG
rnacentral:lncRNA from 1 species